rnacentral:rRNA from 1 species
GACGAACGCUGGCGGCGUGCCUAUUACAUGCAAGUCGAACGCAGUAGGGACGGGUGAGUAACACGUGGGUAACCUCCCAUCAGAGGGGAUAACACUUGGAAACAGGUGCUAAACCGAUACUGAUGGACGAACCCUCGGUGCAGUAGCUAGUUGGUGAGGUAACGGCUCCCCAGAGCCACGAUGCAUAGACGACCUGAGAGGGUGAUCGGCCACACGGGGACUGAGAGGCGGCCCAUACUCCUACGGGCGGCAGCAGUAGGAAAUCUUCGGCGAUGGACGAGAGUCUGACCGGGCAAAGCGGCGUGAUUGAAGAAGGUUUUCGGAUCGUAAAACGCUGUUGUUAGAGAAGCGGUAUCUAACCAGAAAGCCACGGCUAACUACGUGCCAGCAGCCGCGGUAAUAC